UGGGGAAUAUUGGACAAUGGACCGAGAGUCUGAUCCAGCAAUUCUGUGUGCACGAUGAAGUUUUUCGGAAUGUAAAGUGCUUUCAGUUGGGAAGAAAAAAAUGACGGUACCAACAGAAGAAGUGACGGCUAAAUACGUGCCAGCAGCCGCGGUAAUACGUAUGUCACGAGCGUUAUCCGGAUUUAUUGGGCGUAAAGCGCGUCUAGGUGGUUAUGUAAGUCUGAUGUGAAAAUGCAGGGCUCAACUCUGUAUUGCGUUGGAAACUGUAUAACUAGAGUACUGGAGAGGUAAGCGGAACUACAAGUGUAGAGGUGAAAUUCGUAGAUAUUUGUAGGAAUGCCGAUGGGGAAGCCAGCUUACUGGACAGAUACUGACGCUAAAGCGCGAAAGCGUGGGUAGCAAACAGGAUUAGAUACCCUGGUAGUCCACGCUGUAAACGAUGAUUACUAGGUGUUGGGGGUCGAACCUCAGCGCCCAAACAAACGCGAUAAGUAAUCCGCCUGGGGAGUACGUACGCAAGUAUG
rnacentral:rRNA from 1 species